rnacentral:tRNA from 1 species
UAUAUUUUGGUGUAGGGUGCACAAGAGUUUUUGAUACUCUAGGUAAUGGUUUAAUUCCAUUAAAUAUAA